AAGCUGCUACUAGGAGAAAGCGAAGGAAUUAGAGCAGGAAAUUAGUGACCGCUGAGCAGCCACACAGCUCUGUCUGCACAGGCCGCAAGGACUCACAGACGUCGCCGCAAUAGCCUGGAUGGCAAAACGAGCGGGCUUCAAGAGCACGCACGCUCAGUGGGAACAGCAGAAUGAACGAAACCUUUGUUUUUCCAACGGCAUCGAUUCUGGCAUAGGACUACUCGUAACAUCGCUGGGCAAACUGGGUCAAGGCAAAGCUUGCAGUGCAUUUAUCCAGGCAGAAGUAGAGGAUGCAGGUAAGCAGGUUAUGACACACAAUGAGACUCAGUGCAAGACGAUAAAGAGCCCACACCUCCAGAAGGCUCGCUUAGGAAGUUUGCAUAACCCAUGCGCAAAUACUGCAGACAGCACUGCACGCACCUGGAAAUGGUGCUCCGGCCCCAGGCAGGCACCCCCUGCACCCUACACCUUGCUCACAGGGGAGUCGAGUCUUCCUCCUACAUCCUAAAAUGCUGUCAGAAUACUUCCUCCUGUUUUAUCUGUCAUAGGAACCAUGGGGAAAGAGGGGUUCUUGUCUCAAAGUAAAACAUCCACCAAGUUGGAUACAGCAGACAUUACCAAAGGGCCUCUGUGCUCCAGGUCAUGGGAGAAACUUACAACUUGAAUAUCUAACAGUCUGAUUGCAUCAUCCUCUCCCAGGUAAAAUUCUCACUGACAUUAGUGGGAAUUUUGUCCAAUGAAGAAUCAAACCUUUAAUCUUUAUGUGAAGGUAGCCACUGGUCUUGACUCCGCAAACCCUUUUGCAUUUCUGCUGUGCUUCCAAGAAGUGCCUGAAUUGAUAGUAUGCAGGUGCAGCAUAAGCAGACCAACUAAAAAACCUGUGUGCACUAGAGAAAUUAGCUGUAAACUUUCUACUGAAGGCAGCUUUCGAAAGUACAAAUGAAGCCCAUCCCUUUUCUAAUGUCACUGCUAUCAGAUCACAGGCUUCUCUCACCUAUCAGAGGAAAAAAGGUUGUAUUAUCUCAUCUCCAUAAACAACUCCGGAUUUCUGAUAAAUAAAAUCACAAUAAUCUACAGCUACAUAUAGAGCUACUCUUUUUAGCCACAUUUCCUUGCCUUACACCAAAUAUCCACUCCUUAAACUGACUGAAAAUCUUCUACUGUGGUUAAACACCUCAUCUACUACUAGAAGACAAGUGCUUUUAACAUUAGUUACGGACCUCCUUAAGACUACAUGCCUCUCUCUCACCUUUCGCAACCCUAGUAAAAACAUCUGAAGGGCCCUAUGCACGGGAGAAACACAAUCGAAGGGGAGAGACACUGCCUGGAGUGGAAUCCACACUGCUCUGAGCCACGUUCCUUUGCACUCAUGUAACAACUUCUGUGCUGAUGAAGGUCCCACAGAGCCCAUCAGGACAGGAUGGCCAAAACGAUGCUGUUCCACACAGGAUUAAAAGGUCUAUGGACCUGCAGCAACCGCGUUCUGCAAUUGUAAUUGGGUUCAGGAGAGCUUUGUCUGCUCUGCCAGCUCCCCUAGCCUGCCCUAGCACUCAGGCCAGCUCUCUCUGGGAAUAGCCUCCGACCCUGCCAGCCUCAGCACCACAGGGCCGUCACCUGUCAGAGUAAAGGACUAUGACAUAAAUGGUAACAUUACAAGUCUUCAUAAAUCAGACAAUCAGCUGCAUAUCUUUAUUUAAUCAUAUUCAGACCUACAGGCCAAACAAAAAUAUAAACUUUUUAUUUAUUAGUAAAUACAUCAGUACAUUCAAAAUGCACAAUAACUAUUUCCAGAAACAGUAAAAAUACU